GGAGGGUUACCCAAGUGGCUGAAGGGGACGGUUUGCUAAAUCGUUAGUAUGGGGAGACCUGUAGCGGGAGUUCGAAUCUCCCACCCUCCGCCA
rnacentral:tRNA from 1 species